rnacentral:lncRNA from 1 species
AUAUGUAUAUAAUUUUACUAUUCAUAAUAUACUUUAUAUUUAUUUACUUUACAUGCAGCUACACAAGUACAGACAUUUUGUUUAGAGGUCAUUACAUAAACAAUGUAUAUAGAAAAGGCAGAAUCAAUUGGUUCCAUUGAGGAAAAGGGACAAAAGAGCACUGAUAAUAAUAAUGGGAAGUUGUUAAAAAAAAUUGUAUUAUAUCGUGGUUAUGAUUCUUGUAAUGAAGUAGUAUAUGAUGCCAGAAAAAGCAAAAAAAACAAUUAAUUCAAGUCAAGAUGAAUUUAACAGCUGUGCGUUUAAGUUAAAGAUGAACACUAAAUUUGUUGAUGUUGAGAAAUUUGAAGGGCAAAAAAAAAAAUUAUUAAAUAAUGACUUUAAUUCAGAUACCACUAAACAAUUUAGUAUAUUAAAAACUAAGCAAAAAACCCAAAAGUUAUUGGUUAAACAACAAAAAAAUUCCAAUAGAAAAUUGAUUUCCUUGGUAAAUUUUACGAAAUAUGACGACUUAUCAAAGUGUGCAUCAAAAGCAAGUGAAACAGAAAAAGAAGCCACAAGAAUUGAUUUAGUAGAAAAUAUUAAAGUAAACACUCAUGAAGAUAAUAUUGAAAUAAUAAAUUUAUUAAAAAAAAAAAAAAGUAUAAAACAUAAAAUUGAUAUGUUUUUAAGCAAAAAAACAAUAAAAUUAAAAGUUGCAAUAGAAAAAAUUAUCCAAAAUGAUAAAAAGGGUGAUAUAAUCAAAUCAAAGUUAGUCAGUCCAGAUCACAAGGUUUGUGAUAAUAAAGGUAAAAAAAUUAUAAUUAAUGGUCAUUUAUUUGUGCUUGAAGAUAAUAAUGACGAUAUAUUUUUAUCACUUCUAAGUAAAUUUAGUGAUUUUUUAAAUAAAUCACGUUCAGGGGACAAAUGUUAUAAUCCAUUAUUCGAAGUUAGCAACUAUAAUAUAGCUGAGAUAGAGGGUUGUAGUGAAUCUGUAUUUACAGCUAAACAUGAAACAACAAGUAAUCUGAAUCCAUUUGUUGAUUUUUCUAAAUUACAAGAUUUCAUCAAUAAAAAAGAAAGUUCUAAUGUAUCAAAUUAUAUAUUUAAUGUAUUGUACGAAUCUGAUUUUUUAAUAUUAAAUAAUUAUAGUGAUGGGUUCUUAAAAGACUUAAAAAAAUAUUAUGGUUAUGAUGUCAAUUUCGCUGACGAAUAUGAAUAUGGUGAAGAUGGUGAAGAUGGUGAAG